GCAUUGGUGGUUCCGUGGUAGAAUUCUCCCUUUCCAUGCAGGAGACUUGGGUUCAAUUCCCAGUCAAUGUG
rnacentral:tRNA from 1 species